rnacentral:misc_RNA from 1 species
AUAUAUAUCAACCCAACUCUUGUUGAGUGGUUUGGAUGUGGAGGGUUUUGCUGGCUGCUUAAAAGGUGCCAGCUCCUCUGAAAUGCAUUAGUGGAACAACCUGUCCAUUCAUUGGUGUGAUAACUAUCUACGCUGUUGAAUGUGAGGCAGUUCAGCUAUCUAACAGUCCUUGGACAAACUUAUCAUUUA